UACGUAGGGGGCAAGCGUUGUCCGGAUUCAUUGGGCGUAAAGCGCGUGUAGGCGGCUUGGUAAGUCCGUUCUGAAAGCCCGGGGCUCAACCCCGGGAGGCGGAUGGAUACUGUCAAGCUUGAGUCCGGAAGAGGCGAGUGGAAUUCCCGGUGUAGCGGUGAAAUGCGCAGAUAUCGGGAGGAACACCAAUGGCGAAGGCAGCUCGCUGGGACGUGACUGACGCUGAGACGCGAAAGCGUGGGGAGCAAACAGG
rnacentral:rRNA from 1 species